GGAAACAAAGGGGGCCUAAUUGCAGCCUACUUGUGUCCCAAAAGCCCAAAAAGAAAGACCCUCCUCCAUAGACACGAGCCAAAGACAAGCAAGCAACCAGACAGGGCAUCGAUCACCAGAAGAACCCAUGCAUGGUAGCAGAAAAGCUGACGCUAAAAAGAAACCCUUUUACCGCCUUGAUAAUGAUUGAAACAGUGUUAUGGAAUUUAGGGUUCUAGGUUUUGGAAUUGGAAUUGGUACUUGGGAGGAAGGUGUUUAUAUGAUCUGGACUUAGCUUCAGACUUCAUAUUUCAAUUAGUAUUUGGAUUUGGUAAUUUUAAGCAACUUUUGGGAAGUGAAAAUAUGUCAUCUAAUCAAAGCUAUACUCGAAUUAAUACUUUAGAGCUCAAAACUUUGAUUAUUAAAAAGAUUGGGCACAAAAGAGCAGAUAAGUACUUUGAUCAGCUGACAAGCUUGUUUAGUUUUAAGAUAACCAAGUGUGAAUUUGAUAAGUUUUGCAUUAAGAUUAUUGGUAGAGAAAAUAUCCCUCUUCACAACCACCUUAUUCGAUCAAUCAUCAAGAAUGCUUGCCUUGCUAAAGUUCCCCCAUUGAAAGGUAUUAAAAGAGUGGGAAGUAGACUUAACCUUAAAACUACAAACGGGUACCAGAGAAAUUGUCUUCAGUCUCUUUAUGGGGAUGCCUUUCCACCUUCCCCAAGGAAGAGUAGGUCUCCUGUUAAUCGAGAUCGCAAGUUCAGGGACCGCCCAAGUCCUCUGGGGCCACUUGGGAAGCCCCAAAUGAUUUCUGAGGAAUUGAAUUCAACAGGACAAGAACAGCAAAGUGCUACAGAACUGCUUUCACUUGGUAGCAGACCUCCAGUUGAAGUUGCUUCUGUGGAAGAGGGAGAAGAGGUUGAGCAGGUGGCAGGGAGCCCAGGUGUUCAAAGUAGAAGCCCAGUUACUGCUCCUCUUGGUGUUUCCAUGAAUUUAGGUGAAGCUCGUAAAAUUCUCUCAAAUGUUUGUGGUAGCCACCUUCGAGUGACUUGUCUACACACUAGUGAGCUGCCUGAUACAAGAUCAUUAAGAAGUCGGUUAGAGCAGAAGUUGGAGGUGGAGGGUCUUAGUGUGUCGAUGGACUCUGUUAAUUUGUUGAAUAAUGGGUUGGACAUAUAUUUGAAGAGGUUGAUCGAGCCAUGCCUGGGCUUAGCAAACUCACAGUGUAGAAAUGAUCACUUGAAAGAGGUUAAUGGCCAAUUCACACCUAGUUUGAAUGUGUUGCAACCUGGGAGAUGCAUCCAAAGAUUGACAGAAUCUGUUUGUGCAUCCAUGUUGGAUUUCCAUGUUGCAAUGGAGACAAAUCCCCAAAUACUUGGGGGAGAUUGGGCCACAUUACUUGAGAAAAUCUCAUUCCGCACUUCUGAAGAGUGAUAAAUAUCUCAUUGUAAUUGCUCGGAAUUCACCAGUUGAUUAAGUGGGAUUUCAGUUCAUCUUCACAUUAACUUGAUGAUUCAGAUUUUGAAUCAAUGAUUUUGCUAUUCACUCAUUACAGGGUGUUACAAGCAUUUCCAAAAGGAAUAAGCUGUAGAAAUUUUAGAUCAGAUGACAAGGUAGUCUUUAAAAGCCUGAAGUGAUGAUUGUCGACAGUAUACAUGUUUAUACAGUUAAUUGUAAAAAUAGAUACAGUUCUUUGCAGGUAUCUCCUUGACAGAGUACUUGGCUUCUCUUAUCCUUGGUAAUAAAAUUCAGACCAGAUAGUGACUCCAAGUGGAACAUAUUCUCUCUUAGAUAUCCUGGAUUCAGAGAAAUUCCUAUCGCUUUCUUCCAUCGGCUUUAUAGAUAAUAGUAUUAAAGAGUAACUGUUGGUGCGGCCUGGGAUCCUUGUAGUUAAAUUCACUUCACAAAGUCUUUUCUUUUUUUUUUUUUCUUUCAUCCUGGUGAUUUGUAGGAUUCUGAAAUUUAAGCUAUUAAUAAAUUGCAGUUGCAUAUGCA